UCAUGAGUCCACAUGUUCACAUGAUUAAAGGUAUUCCGGUAGACGAUGGGGAUGCGUUCCAUUAGAUAGUAGGCGGGGUAACGGCCCACCUAGUCUUCGAGGGAUAGGGGAGAGAGAGAGAGAGAGCCCCACAUUGGAACUGAGACACGGUCCAAACUCCUACGGGAGGCAGCAGUGAGGAAUAUUGGUCAAUGGGCGCAGGCCUGAACCAGCCAAGUAGCGUGAAGGAUGACUGCCCUAUGGGUUGUAAACUUCUUUUAUAAAGGAAUAAAGUCGGGUAUGUAUACCCGUUUGCAUGUACUUUAUGAAUAAGGAUCGGCUAAGUCCGAGAAAAGCAGCCGCGGUAAUACGGAGGAUCCGAGCGUUAUCCGGAUUUAUUGGGUUUAAAGGGAGCGUAGAUGGAUGUUUAAGUCAGUUGUGAAAGUUUGCGGCUCAACCGUAAAAUUGCAGUUGAUACUGGAUAUCUUGAGUGCAGUUGAGGCAGGCGGAAUUCGUGGUGUAGCGGUGAAAUGCUUAGAUAUCACGAAGAACUCCGAUUG
rnacentral:rRNA from 1 species